rnacentral:rRNA from 1 species
AGCGUACACGGUGGAUGCCCUGGCAGUCAGAGGCGAUGAAGGACGUGCUAAUCUGCGAAAAGCGUCGGUAAGGUGAUAUGAACCGUUACAGCCGGCGAUGUCCGAAUGGGGAAACCCAGUGCAAUUCGUUGCACUAUCGUUAACUGAAUACAUAGGUUAACGAGGCGAACCGGGGGAACUGAAACAUCUAAGUACCCCGAGGAAAAGAAAUCAACCGAGAUUCCCCCAGUAGCGGCGAGCGAACGGGGAGCAGCCCAGAGUCUGAAUCAGCUUGUGUGUUAGUGGAACGGUCUGGAAAGUCCGACGGUACAGGGUGAUAGUCCCGUACACCAAAAUGCACAGGCUGUGAACUCGAAGAGUAGGGCGGGACACGUGGUAUCCUGUCUGAAUAUGGGGGGACCAUCCUCCAAGGCUAAAUACUCCUGACUGACCGAUAGUGAACCAGUACCGUGAGGGAAAGGCGAAAAGAACCCCGGCGAGGGGAGUGAAAAAGAACCUGAAACCGUGUACGUACAAGCAGUGGGAGCACCUUCGGGUGUGACUGCGUACCUUUUGUAUAAUGGGUCAGCGACUUAUAUUCUGUAGCAAGGUUAACCGUAUAGGGGAGCCGCAGGGAAACCGAGUCUUAACUGGGCGUUAAGUUGCAGGGUAUAGACCCGAAACCCGGUGAUCUAGCCAUGGGCAGGUUGAAGGUUGGGUAACACUAACUGGAGGACCGAACCGACUAAUGUUGAAAAAUUAGCGGAUGACUUGUGGCUGGGGGUGAAAGGCCAAUCAAACCGGGAGAUAGCUGGUUCUCCCCGAAAGCUAUUUAGGUAGCGCCUCGUGAACUCAUCUUCGGGGGUAGAGCACUGUUUCGGCUAGGGGGUCAUCCCGACUUACCAACCCGAUGCAAACUACGAAUACCGAAGAAUGUUAUCACGGGAGACACACGGCGGGUGCUAACGUCCGUCGUGAAGAGGGAAACAACCCAGACCGCCAGCUAAGGUCCCAAAGUCAUGGUUAAGUGGGAAACGAUGUGGGAAGGCACAGACAGCCAGGAUGUUGGCUUAGAAGCAGCCAUCAUUUAAAGAAAGCGUAAUAGCUCACUGGUCGAGUCGGCCUGCGCGGAAGAUGUAACGGGGCUAAACCAUGCACCGAAGCUGCGGCAGCGACACUAUGUGUUGUUGGGUAGGGGAGCGUUCUGUAAGCCUGCGAAGGUGUGCUGUGAGGCAUGCUGGAGGUAUCAGAAGUGCGAAUGCUGACAUAAGUAACGAUAAAGCGGGUGAAAAGCCCGCUCGCCGGAAGACCAAGGGUUCCUGUCCAACGUUAAUCGGGGCAGGGUGAGUCGACCCCUAAGGCGAGGCCGAAAGGCGUAGUCGAUGGGAAACAGGUUAAUAUUCCUGUACUUGGUGUUACUGCGAAGGGGGGACGGAGAAGGCUAUGUUAGCCGGGCGACGGUUGUCCCGGUUUAAGCAUGUAGGCUGGUUGUCCAGGCAAAUCCGGAUAAUCAAGGCUGAGGUGUGAUGACGAGGCACUACGGUGCUGAAGUAACAAAUGCCCUGCUUCCAGGAAAAGCCUCUAAGCAUCAGGUAACAUCAAAUCGUACCCCAAACCGACACAGGUGGUCAGGUAGAGAAUACCAAGGCGCUUGAGAGAACUCGGGUGAAGGAACUAGGCAAAAUGGUGCCGUAACUUCGGGAGAAGGCACGCUGGUGUGUAGGUGAAGCCCCUGCGGGUGGAGCUGAGACCAGUCGAAGAUACCAGCUGGCUGCAACUGUUUAUUAAAAACACAGCACUGUGCAAACACGAAAGUGGACGUAUACGGUGUGACGCCUGCCCGGUGCCGGAAGGUUAAUUGAUGGGGUUAUCCGUAAGGAGAAGCUCUUGAUCGAAGCCCCGGUAAACGGCGGCCGUAACUAUAACGGUCCUAAGGUAGCGAAAUUCCUUGUCGGGUAAGUUCCGACCUGCACGAAUGGCGUAAUGAUGGCCAGGCUGUCUCCACCCGAGACUCAGUGAAAUUGAACUCGCUGUGAAGAUGCAGUGUACCCGCGGCAAGACGGAAAGACCCCGUGAACCUUUACUAUAGCUUGACACUGAACAUUGAGCCUUGAUGUGUAGGAUAGGUGGGAGGCUUUGAAGCGUGGACGCCAGUCUGCGUGGAGCCAACCUUGAAAUACCACCCUUUAAUGUUUGAUGUUCUAACGUUGGCCCCUGACCGGGGUUGCGGACAGUGUCUGGUGGGUAGUUUGACUGGGGCGGUCUCCUCCCAAAGCGUAACGGAGGAGCACGAAGGUUAGCUAAUCCUGGUCGGACAUCAGGAGGUUAGUGCAAUGGCAUAAGCUAGCUUGACUGCGAGCGUGACGGCGCGAGCAGGUGCGAAAGCAGGUCAUAGUGAUCCGGUGGUUCUGAAUGGAAGGGCCAUCGCUCAACGGAUAAAAGGUACUCCGGGGAUAACAGGCUGAUACCGCCCAAGAGUUCAUAUCGACGGCGGUGUUUGGCACCUCGAUGUCGGCUCAUCACAUCCUGGGGCUGAAGUAGGUCCCAAGGGUAUGGCUGUUCGCCAUUUAAAGUGGUACGCGAGCUGGGUUUAGAACGUCGUGAGACAGUUCGGUCCCUAUCUGCCGUGGGCGCUGGAGAAUUGAGGGGGGCUGCUCCUAGUACGAGAGGACCGGAGUGGACGCAUCACUGGUGUUCGGGUUGUCAUGCCAAUGGCACUGCCCGGUAGCUAAAUGCGGAAGAGAUAAGUGCUGAAAGCAUCUAAGCACGAAACUUGCCCCGAGAUGAGUUCU